rnacentral:rRNA from 1 species
UACGUAGGGUGCGAGCGUUAAUCGGAAUACUGGGCGUAAAGCGUGCGCAGGCGGCGCGUUAAGACAGGUGUGAAAGCCCCGAGCUUAACUUGGGAAUUGCGCUUGUGACUGGCGUGCUGGAGUGUGGCAGAGGGGAGGUGGAAUUCCGACGUGUAGCAGUGAAAUGCGUAGAGAUGAUGGAGGAACACCGAUGGCGAAGGC